rnacentral:tRNA from 1 species
GGGCGAUUAGCUCAGCGGUUAGAGCGUCCGCCUUACACGCGGAAUGUCGGGGGUUCGAAUCCCUCAUCGCCUA